CUGGGCCUAGCGUGGGAAGGGGAGGGGGCACAGUCAGGCUGCAGAGUGGAAGCCGGCUGCGAGGUGUCCUGUUACAGGAGCCUUAAAGGGCCAGCGGCUCCGUCAUCCCAAAUAUUUCCUCAGUCCCCCCCCCAUCCUGACAGGUCACUGCUUGUGUGGGGAUAAACUGACAUAUUCACCUCGCCUCCCCCCUCCAUCCACCUCCUGUGCCAGGGUUUCUGGGGCUCACGGAGCACACCUGGAGGGGAGCUGCAAUGGGGGAGGCCCCGGCACCUGGAUGCGCUGGCUCCGGGAUAGUGCGGGGCCAGGAUAUCCUCUCCUCCUCCCUGUUACAGCCCCGAGUGGGAGUGGGGAGAUCUGGGCCCAGGGAACCAGGCAGGAGAGAUGGGCUGGGGCAGAGGGUGGGCCCACCGUGUGGGUGCCCCAGGGAGCCGGAUCUGGCCCCUGGGUCCCAACGUCUAAGUGGUGAAGCAGGAGUGGGGGGUUGAAGUUGAGCGGCUGAGCCAAGCAGCCACUUUCCAAGGCUGCCUCCAUCUGCGUCAGAACGGCCAGCUCCCCGGCCUGUGUGGUCCCCACCCUCAGUCCCGCAGCCAGCCCUCCGCCAGGCCACACAGAAGGAGCAGACACUCCGCUGCGUGAGGGAGAGGAUGCUGUCUGAAGCUCUGCGCACCUAAAAUCGAGAGCUGAUUAGAGUCCACCUGGGACCUGGCAAAAAGACACCCUCCCCAGUCGGAGGCUUCCAGCAGGAGGCGUCUGGGAGGGUCUCAGGAGUAGUUGGCGCUGGCCACGCAUCCCAGGCGCAGUUUCAGCAGCUCUCAGGCUCUUACCCCCGUGGCACCGGUGAGGGCACUGCCUAGGGUGACAUGGUGUGCCCCUCCCAGGUGCCACAGGAGACCAGCUGUCCUCAGGCAGCGGGCCUGAGAACCUGUCCGGGUGGGCAUGGUGAGCUGGGAGCUCCUGUCUGGCGGCCCGGGAGUCUGGGGUCCCCAUGGUGGGAGGCAGAAGGCCCCUCUGUCCCACAGCCCUGUUCAGAAAGAUGGGUACUCUUUCCCUCCCUGGCCCACUUCCUUCAAACUGAAAAAUGGCACAUGGUGAGUGGGCAGAGACCACAUUGUUGGGUCACCUGGUACUCAGUCCCUCUGAAGCCCCAUCUUUUUCUCCAUCAGGAGGAUAGGAGUUCAUAACUUAGGGGUCCCUCCCGCUCAGCACCUCCUGGAGGGCACACAUCCCUGCAUGUCCCUGACAAGGGUCCUCUGAGCCCCAGGCCCCUCCCCUUCCAGCCUUCAGAGGGAAGUGCCAGGGAGAGUCCUAGGGGAAGGCUGCCCAGCUGGGAGCCAGCUCAGCACAGGUGGUGACCAGGGCAAGGGAGGUGACAGGUGACAGGAGACAGGUGGCUGGUUCUUAGCCCCGGCCUCCGGGAGGCCAGGCAGGCCCUUUCCUCAGAUGCUACAGCCUCUGGGAUGGCCAGCUGCCAGCCAGCGUGGGCCUCACCUGGGCAGCCAGGCCAGACGGAUGCUUCCAGCAGGUGAAUUGUGUUAUGUAAAUUACAACUCAGUAAAGCUAUUUUAAGCAAAACUACAGAGGGACCCAGUCCUCACCCCUCCAGACCAGACCACGGGCUGUUGUGAGGGGCCAGGGAAAGUACGACCAUCCCCUCUGAGGAGGACAAGCCCCUCACUCCCCCUGGGGCCUGGGCUGAGGGCCCCAGGGGUCCCUCCCACCCCCGAAGUGGCAGCACCUUUCUCUGGGACUUGCUUCCGUGUCCCCCUGGCUCUGUCUCCCCAACCGGACAGUAGUCCCUGCAAGGACAGGGACCAUAUGGCCACCGACAUAUCCUCAUGCACAGAACUGUCCGGUACGGCAGCCGCCAGCCACAUAGGCACAUACGGACUGAGCUGCACUGUGGGCAUAACCCCCGAUUCCAAAGAAUGCCAUGAAAAGAACAUAAAAUAAAAUUAUUCACAAUUUCACACUGGCAACGUGCUGAAAUGAGCAUAGUUUGGGAUAAGUAAAAUAAGUUAUCAAAUUAUUUCCACCAAUUCUUUUUCAACUAUUUGAAAUGUGGCUAAAAAAUACAAAAUUGCACAGGGGACUAGAAUCCCUUUUCUACCGGAUGGCGCUGGACUGGGCUCCCAAGUGGUGUCUGCUGGGCCAAAGGGACGUGCAGCUAUUAUUGUAUUUACAUUAUAACCGUGCGAUAUUACAUACCUGAUACGGUAGUUAUUAUAUUGUCGUUACCAGCUUUAUCGUGGCUGCAAGCACCCACUUUGGGGAGUGUAAUUCAUUCUCACUCCUUUGGGGAGCGUUUACCCAAGGGAUCUGCUGAGGAAGUGACCCAGCAGAGGAACAGAUGAGUGACAGGCAGGGGACUCCUGCCCUGUGUGCCCAGGAAUUAGGGUCAGUCGAGAAGUCCCCCUCCCACUCGAGGCUGUGAGCCUGGUGGGUCCUGGGCUGGGAGGGCAGGGGUCCCAGCCUGCCCACCCAUCAGCAACUUGAUCACCUCCCUCUUCCAGGAGGCCAGGGGUGACUUCUGGAGGGUCUUUCCUGUUGCCAGUGGCUGCUUGGGCUGCCAGAGGGCUGCAGGGAGCCUUCCUCCAUCCUGGCUCUGCUGUGCACAGAGGACAGGUCUGUCGUCCAGCUCCAUCCCCCAUGGGAGGCCGGCCCAGGCCAGCGGGCAGGGCAAAUGCCCCUGCCUCCCAAUUCAGGAGAGAGGGGCGGCCGCGCCACGACAUUGUUCAGAUUUUAACUUGUCCACAUUCUUUACCGAUCCAGGCCGGUGCCAGGGUAUUAGUCACUGAACCAAAGGAGCAGGGCAGGUAGGAUCUCUGGGCCCAGCAGCCAAAGCAGAAGAGAAGAGGGCCGGAGGCUCCCGGCAGCAGGUCCCCGGACCAGAGGCGCGGAGAGCGCUCUGCAGCACCCCAACAGCGGCGCCUCCAUCAGGCUCCCUCCACGCUCUCUGGGAAGUCAGUCUCAGGGGCAUUUCGUGGUACCUGGGAAUCCCCCCCCCCCGGGGGAGAUGGCGGGGACAGUGGUGCUGUGCUGCGCCCGCCCGGCUCCCUGGUCGCUCAGUGGACACUGUCUGAGCUGCUCCUUCUCUGGGCCCUGCUUUUCCAGGGACAUCUGCGUGCCUGUGCCACCACGAGAUAGAGAUUUUUGUCCUCUUUGCUUCGUGCAGCUGCGCUUUGGGCACAGCAGGGGACCCCAUGGGCUCCCCAAAAGGCCCUUCCUCCCCUGCCCACAGGAAACAUCUCUGCGCUCCUUCCCAGCCAGGCUGGGGUCCAGGAUGCUGACAGGGAGCCUGGACCCCCGGCAGAGGCCAGCCUUGCAGCAGAGCCCAGGCCACAAAGAAGCCCAGGGGGGCUAUUCCUCCAGAACCAGAGGCCCCUAGAAGCCAGGGCAGUACCCACUUGGCAUCAGGGAGGAACCCAGGCAAAACCAGGACUUUUUUGGUUUGUUUUGCUUUCAGUAAGAACUCCCAAGAGAGUGGGCUAAUUAGGACAUGCCCAGCCCGCGGCAGCCCGCAUGUGCCUACAUGUGCGUGCAGGGCUCCUGGCCGACCCAGAGCUGAGCACUGCCAGCAAGCGGAAGCGAGGGAGCCGGUGGGGGGCCUCCCUCUGACCAGCUGGGCAACAGGGAUGAUGUGCAGUCAGGUGUCCCGUGGCGUACUAUCCAGUCUGGGGCCUCGCUUCCAGUGAAGGUGGUAACGUCAGGAGGAAAAACUGCCAGUAACACUCCCGCUGGCCCUGAGUGUGUGCCCAGAGGCUCGUUCCAAGCUCGCCAGCCUAGUGGAGGGGAGCUGACCGGGAGGGAGCCUCAUCCUUGUACCGCCGGCUGAGCAGCAAAGGGCCUCCCCAGCCGCCCUGGCCCAGCUCAACCAGAAUCUCGCACACGAGACCCAGGAAGCUGCUCGGGGAGGCUCCAGCUGGGACAUCUGGCUGCUCUGUGACAAGAACAGGCCGAGUCAGCUGGCCUGGGCUCCUGGCCGGGCGCUCCUCGCUUUGGGAGCCGGGUGAGCUCAUGAGGAUGGCGCACAGGACCUCCAGCGCCCAGAAAGCCAGGCCUGUCGGAGUUCUCCCCCGUUCCUGAGGUGGGGUCGGGCGACAGCAUUUCCAGGGAACAUCAAAGGCCAAAUGCGGCGGCAAGCAGAGCCCACCUGAGACCCUCCCGAGGGGGAAGCUGGUGGCCCGCCCGCCUGAGGCUUCCCAGGGCUCUCACGCUCUCCUGGUGCCUGCCGUCCUCCCUGCAAACCAGCCUGGUCCCAGCGCCGGCACCCCCGGCCCCGCCCGCCGUGCCCCCUGCUGGGUCCCGUGGUACUAGGGCCUCGCCUCCCUGCACAGCCUGAGCGAACGUCUUCCGCGCCUCCAGGGCCAGCUUCUGCGCGCUUGCAUCCGAGCCCUCCGCGGGCCUCUGCAGGCUCUGUCCCCAGCGCACCCCGCGGCCAGGGCCGGACAGCGCCCUUGCCUUUCAGCUCACAGAGGGGCCGCCUCGUUUCCUCUGCCUCUCCUCGCUCGCCAGGCUAGAUUUUGCCCCUCAGCCUGCAGACCCUGCUCAGAGCCCACCUCCGCGGGAAGCCUGCUUCAGCAGCCCGAACGGCUAGGCACACAGACCUGUCCCUCCCGAGUGGUAGGAACCGGGGCCUGGGGCCCAAGGCACACAGCUUCUCGCCCUGGCUGUGUGGCCCCCCUCUCUCUGGAGGGCAUGCCCGGACUUGGGGCCACCUCACCCGGAGGUGAGUGACUGACAGGCCUCUGUGCCUGGGCUUGGAGAUAACCCGUCCUACUCGGACGGAGCAAGACCUCCAUCCUGCUGGUAUUUCCCACAGCAUCUCCAGGAGUCUGUGAUUAAACAGAUGGAAAUGCCAGCAAGACGCGACUUGUGCUCUGGGCAAGGCUCCCCACCCUCCUGAAAAUAUGCGGUUGCUCUCCCCUCUCACUCACCGCUGAGGCAAGGCCUCACCCAGUCCCAGCCACAUGGAACUUUCCACACCUCGCUCAGGAGAAACGUGCCCCCAGAAGCCCCGCUGGACUGCCGAGGCGUGUGUCUGCAGGACUGAAGCCAGGAGCCCUGCUCCUAACCGCCUCCACCUGCAGACAGUGUGGGGAGACAGAGAGGACCACCUGGGGGCCUGGACCUGAGAGCGUCCACAGGGUGCUGGGGCGCCUCUAGGCUGUGCCCUGCCAGGCCUGGGAGCAGGCAGGUGGCCCCCGGUGAGACAGGGACCGUGGAUGUAGUCGGGGUAGGGUGAGGGCCUCUGCGGAGGGCAGGGCGGGAUGUUUGCAGUCAGAGCAAGGUAACUACGCGCAAGGAAACCCCCUACUAAAACUGUGUUAGACAUUAAGCUCUAGAAUCAUUCUUCAGUGAGGUCAGUUAAUGUUCCCCAGAUAAAGAAGAGCAGCACAUGUCUUAUUAUGCUGACCAUUUGUGACCAUGUGUAAGAUUCGCUUUAGCAUCGUAAAGGCCCCCCAGGCCUGUGUGCUGUCGUUCCUCCUUCAGCUCUGACAGGUGAUUCUGCAAACUGGGCAACUAGCUUAGCUGCAGGCCCAGCUGCAGGCGGCAGGGUAAAAGGAGGAAGAAUUCCAUCUUAAGGAUAAGACUGCAUUUUAACACCCAGGAAGUUCCAGAGAUAGGAUUCUUUAGCAAGUAGACAAUACCUCAGCCCACCUUGGGUGCUGGGCAGGCAGCCUUUUGAUGUGCUCCCUGACCAAGAUGCCGGUGUCCCAGAGAGAAAUCAAGGCAGGAAAUCCCUUAUGUUAAGUUCAUUUUUAAUAUUCAGGGACCACUGAACAAGUCCACACACCUAAACUCUUUCAUGUUCCCAAAUAUCCUCAACUGCCUAUAAAACCCCCCACGGACUCUCUUGUCCCCUCCUGGCCUGAGCCGGGACCUCUGUCCUCUCACUUUAUCUCUAAGUAAAAGCCUGACCCUUGC